GGUUUGAUUAUGGCUCAGAUUGAACGCUGGCGGGAUGCUUUACACAUGCAAGUCGAACGGCGGCACGGACUUCGGCACGGUCUGGUGGCGAGUGGCGAACGGGUGGUAACAUCGGAACGUGCCUAUUAGCGGGGGAUAACCACGCGGCGUGUAAUACCGCAUACGCCUUCCGGGGAAAGCGGGGACCUUCGGGCCUCGCACUAUUAAAUACGGCCGAUAUCGGAUUAGCUAGUUGGUGGGGUAACGGCUCACCAAGGCGACGAUCCGUAGCUGGUUUGAAGGGGACGACCAGCCACACUGGGACUGAGACACGGCCCAGACUCCUACGGGAGGCAGCAGUGGGGAAUUUUUGGACAAUGGAAACCUGAUCCAGCCAUCCCGCGUGUGCGAUGAAGGCCUUCGGGUUAUAAAACACUUUUGGCAGGAAAGAAACGGCACGGGAUACCCGUGCAGCUGACGGUACCUGCAGAAUGCUUACCGGCUAACUACGUGCCAGCAGCCGCGGUAAUACGUAGGGUGCAAGCGUUAAUCGGAAUUACUGGGCGUAAAGCGUGCGCAGGCGGUUCGGAAGAAAGAUGUGAAAUCCCAGAGCUUAACUUUGGAACUGCAUUUUUAACUACCGAGCUAGAGUGUGUCGAGAGGGAGGUGGAAUUCCGCGAUGGCGAUGAAAUGCGUAGAUAUGCGGAGGAGCCACCGGCGUCAGCGAAGGCAGCAUUUCUGGGUUAUUUUAACAUGCUCAUGCACGAAAGCAUGGGGCGACAGGAUUAGAUACCCUGGUAGUCCACGCCCUAAACGAUGUCAACUAGCUGUUGGGGCCUUCGGGCCUUGGUAGCGCAGCUAACGCGUGAAGUUGACCGCCUGGGAGUACGGUCGCAAGAUUAAAACUCAAGAUUGACGGGGACCCGCACAAGCGGUGGAUGAUGUGGAUUAAUUCGAUGCAACGCGAAAAACCUUACCUACCCUUGACAUGUCUGGAAUCCCGAAGAGAUUUGGGAGUGCUCGCAAGAACCGGGCACGGUGCUGCAUGGCUGUCGUCAGCUCGUGUCGUGAGAUGUUGGGUUAAGUCCCGCAACAGGCGCAACCCUUGUCAUUAGUUGCUACGAAAGGGCACUCCUGAGACUGCGGUGACAAACCGGAGGAAGGUGGGGAUGACGUCAAGUCCUCAUGGCCCUUAUGGGUAGGGCUUCACACGUCAUACAAUGGUCGGGACAGAGGGUGUAACCCGCGAGGGGAGCCAAUCCCAGAAACCCGAUCGUAGUCCCGGAUCACCCAGUCUGCAACUCGACUGCGUGAAGUCGGAAUCGCUAGUAAUCGCGGAUCAGCAUGUCGCGGUGAAUACGUUCCGGGUCUUGUACACACCGCCCGCCACACCAUGGGAGUGGGUUUUACCAGAAGUAGUUAGCCUAACCGUAAGGAGGGCGAUUACCACGGUAGGAUUCAUGACUGGGGUGAAGUCGUAACAAAGUGG
rnacentral:rRNA from 1 species